CCGGUAAACGGCGGCCGUAACUAUAACGGUCCUAAGGUAGCGAAAUUCCUUGUCGGGUAAGUUCCGACCUGCACGAAUGGCGUAAUGAUGGCCAGGCUGUCUCCACCCGAGACUCAGUGAAAUUGAACUCGCUGUGAAGAUGCAGUGUACCCGCGGCAAGACGGAAAGACCCCGUGAACCUUUACUAUAGCUUGACACUGAACAUUGAGCCUUGAUGUGUAGGAUAGGUGGGAGGCUUUGAAGUGUGGACGCCAGUCUGCAUGGAGCCGGCCUUGAAAUACCACCCUUUAAUGUUUGA
rnacentral:rRNA from 1 species